UUCCAGCCAGGGAUCACUGCUGGCCUGGAAGAGUUGGGCAGAAGAGCAUGCUGGUCAGUCCUUGUGCCUGGGAAUCCAUUUGUUUUCAUCUCCUUGACCCCCCCAGAUUUUCCUCACUUCCAGGGUUUUUCCUCCAGCCUUCUUUCUGGGCCACCUUCUUCUUCCUGAGACUACUUCUUUCCAGCAACCCUUUGUUUUGGCACCAGGUCUUCUUUCUGCAACCCAAGUCCCCCAUUUUUUCUACCUAUAGAGUCUAUAUACAGAAGCACAACAGAUGAGCAGCCAUCUACUUUCUAGUUGUGUUUAAUUCUUCUUUAUUAAGUGGAGGAUUCAAGAUGUACCACUUUUAUUUAGUCCAGAUGCUAUUAAAAUUUACAGUCAGCCCAUACAGAUUGCAGCCAGCAAGUAGCAGGUUUCUGCUUGAGAGUUCAAAAGUUCAGUUUCAGACAUUCACCCACACACCCACCCAUGCACCCAAUUAUCUGCUGCCUGUUAACAUUCAUAAUUUAAGCUAUUUUUUUCACCCGCAUCCCUUUCCCCCAUGCUUUUGCUGACUUUCUCUGCAUUGCAAUACUUAAGAAUAGUGGGAUUUAGAGCCAUGUAGCUAAGCCUGACCUUCUGUGGUCCAGAGCAUUCCCUCCACCUGCUUUCAACAGAGAAAACAGAGGAUGUUCAAAACACCUUAAAAAAGCAGCAUCCCCAUUCAGGCAACACACAGCCAGAGGUGGGGCUGCCCCAGCCACCACAGACUUGUCUGUGGCAACACAGGUGCAAAGCGUAGCCUGCAGCCCGCAGCAUUGCCAGCUCCCCUGCUGCAAGUGAAGGACUUGACCCACCUUAUUUUGAAACCUGGCCUUCCCUCUCCCUAAGGAUGUGGAGACCAGCUGCCUUGAGAUAAGAGAAAAGGAAGGGAGAGAAAGUGCAUUUAUAAAGGACACUGGUCUACACGUGCAGUUUGCAGCAUAUAAAAGCCCCCUGUGUGUGAAUAUGGGCUAACACAUCAGCACAUGUCUGUUUUGAAAUGAAGAGCAGCAGAAUAUGGCAGAGAACUGAGGUGAUUUGGAUUAGCUGACAACCUUAAAAAAAUAGACGUGCUGCUCCCCAAAAGGCAACUCUUCAUCAGUUUGUGGCAUAAGGACAUUGGACCUUCUAGCAUUUCCUGAAUGACAAAAUACACAUUGUUCUGGGGCAGAGACACAUGUACCUGUACUCUCAUCCAAUCCAUAAAUUUAAAUGUAAAUGGUAAGGAAUUAUCCAUAAAUAAUUAGUGUACAUUAUGAACCUAUACAAAAACCUUAAUUAUAAGUAAUGGAAUUUGUAGUUUGAAUGGAUUUAACACAGUUUAUCCCAAACUACCAGCUGAAUAGUUCAGAAUAUUCCGACUUUUACUAACACUCAGUCCUACUUUAACAGACAAGACAGAUACCUAUGAACCUGUCAAUUUAGCAGACAGAACCUGGCCCAAAAACCACAACAGAAUUUUGACCUACAAGCCAGUGCAGAAGGAAUGAAUGCAAAGAGAUUCCCUGAUCCCAUAAAAAACUAGAAGAUCCUGCAGCACAAUCUACAGGCAACAAACAUCAAUAUAUUAGAGACAUAGGGGAGAACUAAACUCUACAGCCCCAAACCUCCUCCUUUUUAACAGGCACUGUGGAAGAGAGCGGGAGCGUGUCCCUGUGUGACCUUCGCCAAGCAGUAUGGUACCUAAAAGCUCAGCACUGCAGUGGUUGGUAUUGCAGCUUGCAGCCCCCUUGUCUCGUACUACAGCUCUCCAUACCCUCACAUACACAUUUGUGAAUCAAGGCCCAUUAUAGUGGUCUCGUGAGAAAUUACUUGACAGGUCUCAGUCUAAUUCAGAGUAGACACGUUCACGUAAUCCAACCCAGCACCCCAACAGGCGUUGUUUAACACCCCCAUGGCCUUUUUUAAAGAGGGGACCAAAUGUUCUGCACAACAGUCAGGGUAUACAUCGGACAGGAUGGAUCUCGCUGGUUGGGGGUUGUAGUUCUUUUAACACAGAUGCUAACUUUAUUUUGCUACUGUUACAUACUGCAGUGUAUCUCAGAUAGCUCUUUAAAAACUAGGUAUUUUCAUUCUGAGGCAACAGAGAGCUUCAUUUGUCUGCUCUAUAGAUACAGACAUUCAUUAUCCCCACAAGCAGCCUACCUGGCUUUUAAAGACAGCAGUCCAAGGAACAGUUUACAGGUUGAUUAAAGUUACAAAGUCAGAGCAAAUGCAUGGCAAUGAUCUAGGUUUUCAGGCCCAAAAAGGGACAUUUAGACAAUUCUGACACCAGCAUUUCCCUUUGAUCUGUAUCUACAAUGUAUCUCUGCAGAAAAGUUCUGCAGGUACAGUGUAUGCUGGGGAAGCUGAAUGUAGGUCAAUGAGAUGCACUCUGCUUUUUUAAAUAAAAUCUUUCUGCAGAAAUUGCAUGAUUUCCUGUUAUGACUGUAGACUUCACAAAGAGUAUCAUACAUUAGUUUUUAAAAAAUGCUUUUCUACUUGUGCAAAAAUCCCUCAUUUUGUUCAGGGUGUACAAAUACACACAGACACACACAAGUUUCUACAUAUAUAUAUACCUAUUUAUGAAUAAUUUCUUUUCAUGUAUUUUCCAUCUCUAAUUUGUGGCUGACAUGGCAGACCACAGAAUUUCAAGAUGCCUAUUCUUGAGCAGUAAAUGUUGUUAGCCAAAAAGGUUAGACGAAGGGCUCAAUCCAGAGAAGACCUGCAUACCUAAAUCUUGUCUAACUUCAGCUUUUGAUCUCCAAAUCCCUAGCUCACUACCACCUAAGCUCAGCAAAACUAAAGCCCAUAAGUGCCUAGUUUAAGCCACAAGAGUUAUCUGGGUCCCCGGUUUCUGUGACCUGACGUAAAUCUGUUAAGUGAGAACACUGAUGUAAGAGCAGGGCUGUCAGGGCUUCCCGGGAGCACAGCAGGCACUGGCAAAGAGCAUAGCAGGUCUCCAACACAGUGACCUGGCUCUGGAAGUACUUGGCCCUCCCACCAACUAGCCAAAGACCUCGCCAUAGGGAGAAAGCCCAGGAGGCCAUUAUACUGGCAGUGCGGAGGAACUGCCUACCCACCUCAUUCAGGGCAGCAUUUCCCCAGAAUAACUUUCCUUUGUACAUUUGCAGCCCUUUGGAUUUCUCUAAAUGCACUUACUGCAUCAAGCCUCGACCAGAAAACAGCUGAAAGAAAGUGAGGUGGGUCGGAGAGAGCAACUGAGCCGGGAGGAGCCCGUGUCACUGCAGCUUCCACAGCCAAGUGAAUGUUUAGGCAUUUGCCUGAUUCAGAACCUGUAGGAAUGUGAAACUCACGCUGCAAAAUAAGUAUUUUUCUGAUGCAAGCUUCAUAUUAUUAGCUGUGAUUGGACAAAGGAUUUGGGAUUUUAGAUGAAGAGGGCUUUGAGAAUGAAAAUUCUCAAAAAUUCUCACAGGAAAGCGCACGUGGGAAAAUGCACUCUAUGCCAGACCUUCUCCUGGAUUUUACAAUGUGAUAAAUGCAGUAAGUUUGGGGCAGGGGAAAAAAAUCCACAAAUAACCAAACAGAUGAAAAAUAAAAUAAAGACUAAAUACCUUAGUGAAAUUUGUAUGUAAUCCCAUGCCACCAACAUCCUGAUUUCUGCUUCAGCUACAGAGGAGGCGAGGGGCAUCCUCACACAGCUGGAGAUAUUUCUUCUCUGAGCUCCUAAAAACAGGGUGCUGGGGGUCGGUACUGGUUGGAAUUAUUUCUAUUAUGUUCCCCUGCGCUUUGGAGACUCGUGUUUCACAGGUCGUGAGCUGGGUGCGCGUUGGUACUGUGUUAGGCCACAGUGCUCCUGGAAAAGUACCUGGCAAGCACAGGCUCAGUCCGAAGUUAAUGGAGUUUUGCCAUUGCUUAGGCUGAAGCCUGUUUCCAACUCUGGUGUCAAAGAGGCUCUUCCCCCCCCUUCCCCCCUUCCUCCAGUUAUGCUGCACGCACCGGCUGCGUGCUUAGUUUAUCCCAUGCCUAUCACAAAUAUAGCAAUGCAGACCUUGUUACCAGAAAGCUCAAUUAUUGUAAUACCCUCUUCGCAGAGCUUAGAGCCAGGCUGCUCAGCCCUGCUCGCUGCUCGCUCCGAGCGCGGCAGCACGUGUGCUCAGCCCUGUGAGCCAGCAGGAACGCAUUACACCACGCUGCAUUCUUCACACUGCCUGCCUCCGAAGUGGCAGAUUGAUUUUAAGUUGGCCCUUUCGGAUUUUAAAGCCUUAAAUAAUGCAGGCUCUGGCUAUGACUGAUCCCCUUCUCUCUGAGCCCUGUCCUAAUGGGGAGCUGCGUUCCCACACCACCUGCUUUUCCUGGAACCCUACUGUCACAUCGCAGAUCUGCACCAGAUUUUGACUUUUCUGCGCUGAACUGCACGACGUAUCUCACCCCCUGUACCGUUUUUUUCCCAUCAACCCUUUCCAAUUAUAUACCACACUCAACCCAACGUUAGCGGAACCUCACAAAAUGAUCGCUGCCAUCUCACAAAUAGAGACCAGCCAGGUUUUUGAGGGAGGUGGCAUUAGAGUGAGUUAGCCCACGUGGCUUUACGGUACCAGGUACUCUCUUUUUUCUCCCUGCAGCCAGAGAGGAGGCUUAGCCCUCUCAUUAGACCUGAGGUGCUUUGCCUGAAACGACAUAAAGGCCUCUUCAAACUGAAAUUCAUUCUCAGCCUGCUGGUGGCCUCCAUUACAGUAACUUGACUUCACAGAUGAGGGCAGAUGAAAAGCUUGUCCUGAGUGCAAGCCAAUAAAUCAGGAAGAGGGAGAAAAGGAAGACAAUAAGAUGCUGACAUUAAUGAAACCUUCUUGAAAAUCUAGAGUGACAAUGAACUGAAAGAGAGAACAUAUUAAUGGAACUGAAAAUUUGAGCUGAAAGCUGGAUGAAAACAUUUGAAUCCAAACAAUAAAAGUUUGCUACUAAUACAAUUAUGAGGCUUAUUGCAAUAGCUCUUUGGUCUGAAAUCACUUCAUUUUCUGUUAAAAUGAAACCAGAAAAAUUUACUGCCCUUUGAUGUGGCUUUUUCACAGAGUCGUGGAUAUGAGAAAUAUCAGGCAACUUUUCUCAAUUCUGAUAAAAAUAUUUAAAUUAGAAAUAAAUAUAUUUUUGCCAAGACCCUUAAUGAAUCUAUCAAAUAUUAGGUAGCAAUAAUUUUAUCUCAUUAGUAGAAUUCACCUUUUUCACAAUAUCUGGAGGAGACCAGGGAAGCAAUGACAUUUGGUGUUCUUGGUUGUUCGAGAAUACCUAACAAUCUUGUAUUUCUGUUACUUUGUCUCACUUACUCUGUUCCAAAUAACCUACUUGUUUGCUUCUUUUAUUUGUUGUGUCUCCUGCUAUGUUUUCUGAGAAAGGAAAAUGGAAAAUAAUAUAAACUGUAGCAACCUAAACAGAAAACCAAAAGAAUGCAGGAGAUACGAAAUUUUGAAGAAUAACUUGCUAAAGGCAUAAAAAUAAUAGUACCUUUUUUUUUUCUUCUUUUUUCCCCCAAAUACAUCAGUAGUAGGAAACCUGCCAGGGAGUCAAUCAGGCCUACAGGUGUAAGAAGAACACUCAAGGAAGAUAAGGCCAUGUCAGAAAAGCUAAAUGAAUUCUUUGCAUCAGUGUUCACUGCAGAGAUGCUUAGGGAGGUUUCCACACUGGAACUAUUCUUUAUGGGGGGACAAAUCUAAGGAACUGUCUUAAAUUGAUGUGUCAGUAGAGGAGGUUUAAGAACAAAUCGAUAAAAUGAAUAGUGACAAAUCAUCAGGACCAGAUGGUAUUCAUGCAAGAGCUCUAAAGGAACUCAAAUAUGAAAUUGCCAAACUACUCACUGUGGUGUGUAACCUAGUGCUUAAAUUGGCCUCAGUACCAAAGGAAUGGAGGUGGGAAAUAUGAUACAAAUUUUUUAAGGCAUUUUGUAGUGCGGAGGGGGAUCCAGGAAGCUGCAGAGCAGUAAGUCUAAUUUAUCUACUGGGCAGAUUGGUUGGAAAUAUUGCAAAAAAACCUCCAGAAUUAGCAACCUUACAGAUAAAUUAAUUAACAGAGAUGCUAUAAGCAGUGAAUAAAACAAAGGCAUUUUCAGCCAAAUAUCCACUGUGUUUCUCUUACAUGCCUAUCGUAGGGCAGAUCUAGCUUAGAUUAGGUAUCUGGUAAUCAGAGGGUUGAGUUUAGAUAAGAAGAAUAUGAUGCUGAGUAGUUAGGUAGUGAAAUGGCAAGUAAAAUCAAAUGCAAGUCUAUAUAAAGAAAAAAACUCUGAAGUACAAAUAACUGAUGACAGGUCCUAAACUAGCUAUUAUAAUAAAAAAAAAUAAAAUUAAAAAAACCAAAACAAGAACCAAAGUAAUUUGGAUGGCCAAUCUGAAGUGAAAUAUUAAGUAUCAGUUUUAAAACUAACCAAAGGAAGUAUCUCUUUUGAUGUAACUGCAGAACUCCUUGCCAGAAUAUGUUUUGGAUGAUACAAGUAUAAACAGUUUCAGAGAACAGUUGGAAACAAUGAAAGAGAAGUCUCUCAAGGGACAUCACUCAUCCCAUUCAGCUCAGAAUCCCCUUGAACAACACGUUACCAAAACCUGGAGACUUGUAUUUGGGAAAAAUCUACUUUGCUUUCUUCUAAUUGGUUUUUUUGUUUGUUUUAAACAUCUAUUGCAGGUUAUUUUUAAAAGACAGUAGACUGAUGAACCUAUGAUUUUUUUCCACUCAUAUUAGAUUUUAUGUAAUUUGGUAUGAUAUGACCAAGUAAAACUUUCAAGUAAAAUGCACAUUGUACAAGGAUUCCCUAUAUCAAAUAUUUGCUCCAUUGGACCAGUGUUGUGCUAAACACUUCUUUUAAAGAAUGAGCUUUUCCUUAAGUCGGAGAAUCUCGUAGCAAUCUUGCUUAAUGCCACUGGAAUAGCCAGUGAGGCUCUUACCAGUUCUCAAAUAGGUUCAAGCCAAAGCCAGAAGACUUGCUGCUCACCCCCUUCACAGUGUGCUUUCACCAAUCUUUUAGCUGCGUUCAUCACCUACGACUUCAUCUCUGUCUGCUUUGAAAUAAUGAAAAGGAAGGAGCCUUUCUCAGGGCUACCAAUAAUUCAUCAUCCCAGACAGAAACUGUGAAGUACCUAACCAUGGAUUGCAUUUUCUUCUUAUAGAUAAUUCUUUAAUGAUUAGCAGUUUCUCUAAUGUGUGACAGUAAAUACCUUUGAAAGAAAGCUAUCUUCCUUUUAGGAUCAUUUAGCCCUGAGUCUCCCACAGGUCCAGUUAGCCAUGUCUUUCUAGGUAGCUUGCUGAUAUCUCUAGCUACCCAGGAAGUUAGAUGGCUUGCCACACAUCCAUCUGUCCUCUCAAAACCUGUAACUACUCACUCCAUUUGGCAGCAUGGAUGAAUAUUUUGUUCAAUUACAUUAAAGGUUUGAUUUUAAUUGCUUAAUAUUUCCAUUAAUAAUGUCUCCUUAAGUCAUCUGUUCAGAUUUUGCAAUGUUAAGAUGUCUUUGAAACUUAGAACAAAUUAAAAUUAAAAAAAGGGCUAGUUAGCUCUCACCUGGCUUAUGAUGAAAUGUUUCUGUAUGUUAAUGUUUUGGUUAUUAAAAUGUAUAAGGAAAGGAAAAAAGCAUGGAACAGACAGCAUCAGGGAUUGCCUUGAGAGUAUCUCUCUGUGGAGGAACAGCACUUUGGAUCUCUCUGACAGCAGUGACAGAUAUUCAUGGCUGAGAUGGCCCAGGUCACUGUAAGCCUAGAAGAGAACAAAGGCAAUGUGCUGCACCUGUAAAGAAAGUACAGGGCAAUGAAAUAUGUACCCAAAGCAAAGCUGAGAAGAUGGCAAUUAGCCACCACGAAGCUGAUCUUACUAGCACACAGGCAGAGGGGAGUGGGUGUUGAAGGCAGGAGAUGGUUUGUUCUGGAUAAACUUCCCUGAGUUUCCUCAGGGAAAUGAAGAACUUAACCAAAACUACUUCCACAAAACUGAGAUGGAGCAAAGGAGAAACAACCUGUGGUCCUUUCCUCUGAAAAGGGGAAGCUGGAAAAUGAGGAGUGCAAGCAGCUGUCUCCAGCUCAUGCAGGAGCUGGAAACUGAAUGCUGCGUUCCUGUUUUCCAGGACUGUUGACCACAUCCACAAAGUGGGGAGUUUGCUUAUGUUUAUAUCAUUCAAAUGAAGAUUUUUUUUAAAAAAAAUUAUGCCAUUAAAUUGCAUCCCCACACAUUGCUAAAAACAUAAAUGGAAAAAUAUGAUGGAUGCUCGAAGUGUGAAAAACCACAUAUGUCAAGGUGCCAGGUUUCUGGGAACUCUUGUUGGAGCUCUUGGCAAAUAAGGUCUGGACAAAACCAUUUUACAAUGUAAGCUGUUGCUCUCUUUGUAGGUUUUGGUAGCAUAUCUCCAAGGCCAGCCCUUUUUUGGUUUUAAGUCUCUAGAUUUUUAGAAAGAUGGAGACGUCUCUGGGGAAAUGAGGGGGAAAAAAGGACCUGAAACUCAGAAAGGUUUGAGGUGGAUUCUGAGAAACAAGAAAAAUGGAGAGGAAAAGAUGGAAUAGGAAGGAGAGGGGACAAAUAGGAUAAGAACAGGAAAAACAGUACCUGUGAGUAGUGAGAAGUUUAUAUAUAUGCAUACAUAUAUGUGCACGCAUGUGUGUGUAUAUACAUUAAAUACAUGUAUCAAACCCACAUAUAUUAUUACUCAAACCCCAGACUGAAGGCUUUUUCUUGGAGACAGACAUCAAUGCUACUGACAGAUUUGACACUAUCCAAAGGGAAUUGCUGCUUUGGAGGCUCAAAGUCCAAGGCUAGUCCAAGGCGCCUCUCACAAGAUGCAGUGGGAGCCAGAGGAUUAGCCCCUUGGUGUGCCCACAGCAGUGACUCUUUAAAGUUUUAUGAUUUGGAAAUGAAACUGGCUAAAGAAAAUUCACCCCAAUAAAGUGAAUGUAAAAUGCCCAAAUGUAAAAAACAAACAAACAAACCAGGGCGGUGAGGAAGAGAGUGUCCUGGAGGGUUUUUUGACAAAUAUUCAUACCUUGUGCUCAGAAUAACUGUGAGCCGACAGCCUAGAAUAUCGCUGAGCUACUUCUUUAAACACAAUGCCCUUUCCCCUUUUUUCAUUUAGUUAUCUCCUUCUCUGCUCUGUGGCUCAAUCUGCAUAUGUUAUUGGCCUCGAUUCCCAGGGCUGCCACCUUAAUCUGUAGUAGCUAAUAGUACAACCUCACACAUGGCCUGGGACCAGGCUCAGGUUAACAAGAAAUCCAAAAGCAAAUGGCUGGGGGAGGUUGCUAUAAAAUAACCACUUGAAAAUUCAGGCUGUGAUUUUUUUUCACAUUUGCAUGGAGGAAGCAAAGCUUUUAGUCUCAGAGGUUCAGUCAAAUGCAUUAAAAAGAUGAACAUUUUAGUUAAUGUUCUAAGAAGAUUUCUAAAAGCAGUUUUGAUUGUGUACUAUUAACAUUAAUUAAUUUUUAUACUGAGACCAGCCGCUAUAUUAGUAGAAUGCAUAUUUUAAUCAAUUUCUACUUGCUGUUUUAUGCAAGUUAAAGGUAGCUUUGUGGUUUGUGCCUAGUUUAUACAGUGCAUUUAACUCAAUGUGCCUUAGGUAAUGCUCAUCUGAGGUUCAAUGUAUACUCUAAUCAGAGCAUGAUACAAGAAUUAUGAAUGAAACCCUGACAAGUAAUGGGGUUGUUUUCAUUUUGGACCAUAGUGGAAUAUACCUUCUCUAAACAGGUGCUUGAAUGCAUUAUUAAAUAACACAAUACUCAACUGCACUAUCAUCAAAAGCAGGCAUAAACAGUUAGGAUUAAAUCUCUUUUCAAUAGCAGCUUACCUGCAUCUGAAGCAGCUGUUUGAUAUACAUUUGCAAUCAUCCUGUCAUGGGUAAAUUUUAAAGGAUCAUGUCAAGUCAUUUUUUAAACAAUUUUCAGGUUGUCAUUUAGAAAUAUUUUAUCCUUUGUUAAAAGCAAUUAAAAAACAGUAAAAAUUAAUUAAUUUCACAGUUAUUAUUUUUUUUCCUCAUUCUUAUUUGACAAACAGUGAGACUUUCUGCUCAGGACUGCUAAACAGAGUUAGAAAUCCGUAGUGUACUGAUGUUUAUUUCUUUAGUCAUAAGCAGGACUGAUGAUUCGCGUAACCAGACGCUUGGAUCGGGAAGUGCUCAGUGGAGCACCCACCCCACACUGUCCAGUCCCAGCAAUCCCUCUUCUCCCUUGUCCCCUGGCACUUCCCUCCCAACCACCCGAGACAAAACUCACGUGGGGUCUCAGCAGCAGAGAAAGAGGAGACCAACGGGAGCUCAGAUUUUGUUAGAACAGAAGAGAAAACCCAGUCCCAUAAAAUGUUGUCCUGCUUUCAGCAAUUACCUCCUCAGGCCUUUCUGAUCCUAAACACAGCGGCUUUUCUGAAAGUAUUGGUUCAGGAGAUAUGAAGUCUUAAAAGGGAAAAAGACAGUAGACGUUGAAAAGACAUAAAAGGAGAAGAUGUAAUGGAUGUUAAGCGAUAUUUGGAGGGUAUUGAUACAGGGAAACAUCUGAAAACCAGUUUUUCAAAACAGAUCCACUUUCACUGUAUCUCUACUGUACCCUAUCGUGACAGCCCUCCGCUUGUUCCCACAGUGCCCAGGGCCUGCCAUGUUGUACCACCAGUUAAGGGUUUGGUUCAUCCCCAUUAAGCAUAGCCAUACCAGAAGAUAUUAUUAAGCACAGCCAUAUCAGAGGAUACCAGUUCUCACUUAAUUCCUCUCAAUAGGCUUGCCCCUUGUGUGCCUUGGAAACUCAUUCCUCACACCCAAAUGGGAUGGUCCCAUGGUCCUGUCCCUCCCACGGUGCCAGUCUCUGCACACUACACCUUGAGUUUUUUCUCCUUUUGUAGCCAUUGCAGGACAUUUUGUUCUUUAGCACUUCUUGGAGGUUCAAAUGGAGGUUCAGUUCACUGUGUCAGGAGCUGUAUAAAGACACUGUAAGAAACAUUCUAUGCCUCUAUCUGGUCUCAGGAUAAACGGACUGGACAAACAAAUGUUGGAGGGGAAAAUGGAGGCACAACUUCACAAAUUGACAGCAGUAUCUCAUGCUGGUCUCCUGCCUUUCAGAUCAGAAGUGCUUAGCUAGACUAAGCCAAAUGCCUGCCCACAACUAACCAUCCCAUGUUCCCCACCCCCACAAAUGUCAUAGUGCAAAGACUUCUCUUCCAAAAGUACAGAUGUCAAUGAAUGUGGCAGAAAGAAAGGCUGCAAGGCUGUUGUAUGGAUGGACUGAAAAAGAGUUUCAGAUAAAAUGAGUGUAUAAGCAAUAUUGGUACAGUUCCCUGUUAGGUCAUCUUCUAACUCACCUAGCAAACAUGAACCAGGCUUAUAUUGGCAUAUUGUCUCUAGCAGCACUGUCCUGGCAGGAGCAGAGUCCAGUGCUGCUGCCCUCCAAAUCAGCACAUCCAUGAUUCAGGCUUCAAACUAACCUGUUCUAAAGAUCCUGAUAAGAAGAAGUGAUUAUUUCAGUUUCCAUCAUAGCAUAAAACAACGUCAUCAGUCCCUGUCUUUCUGUUGUUCAGUAGAUCUCAAAACCUAAGUAUUGUUAGUUAAAGUUUUUCCUGUGUUGGUAACUCAUAUUACUGAUUACAGAUAAGAUCACCAUAUGUGUGCUGCAGGUAUUUGGCAUAAACAAGCACCAGUGGAUUGCACAUUGGCAAGCCUAUGGCGAUGUUAGGUAUUUAGAAAACACGAGAAGAGGGAAAAAGCAGUGUAAGUGAUGCCAGAAAAAGUGAAAAACCCAGGAAAAAUUCAAUGACUAUAUGACCAUUACCCAUUACCAUUCAGACCGUUCAGGCUCGAAGGAUAUUGCAUGCCUGUCCUUGCUAGCAUCUGCCAAAACUGCUUUGAUGUCCAUUCACUCCUGGGCUCCCAGCUGAGAGGAAGACCUGGCUUGUGAAAGUAGGGCCCAGUCACUGCUGCACACAGGCUUACACAAAUGACUUUCUAGUCUUUUCUAGAUGCAAUUGCAAUCAAUCACUUAGAGAUGAAGACUUCACUAGUUCAUUACAAGUUCCCUGAGCCAUCCAGCCUCCCCAAACGCUUCAUAAAACUUCUGGUUUUCUAAUAUUUGAAUUAAGUAUUUCAAUCACCUAAUACUUAGCAAUGUUGCUUAUGUUUCUCUUGAUUUUUCUUUUUCUACAUGGACUUGGUUGGAAAAACUUCUGUAUCAAACGUGUAUCUUAAUAAAAGAUAAGAUGUUUUAAAUGCAAUAGAAUUUAAAAGUUUCAAAGUUAUCAUUUUUCUCUCUGUUUCAAAGAUGCAAAUACCAGAAAGAGAGCAGUUAGACUUUAAAAGAAAAAUUUAUGAGUAUUUCCCUCUUGGUACUCCUUCCAGUGCUUCCUAAUUAAGGACAAGCCAAUACAGUAUCAUGUACCAAUCUGGUAUUUAUUAACAAAGCUAGUCAUGAUUUUUAACUGAUUAUUGCUCAGAGGAUCCUCCCCUCAUUAAUAUAAAUGAAUUAGGAGGAAUAGUGCCAAAUGUUUCAAAUGGGAAUUAACAUGAGACUGCAAGGUAUAAUUAGUUGAAAACGCUAAAUACAUCAAAGUAUUAAUUUGUGUGUGCAUAUAUACAUAUGCCUAUAUAGGUACUGCAUUUUUAUAUUAUCUAAAAGUAUUACGUAUAUGUAUACACAGUGCACAUAUCAGAUUAAGUGCAACUCACAGAUGGAUGUA